CCUACGGGAGGCCGCAGUGAGGAAUAUUGGUCAAUGGACGAGAGUCUGAACCAGCCAAGUAGCGUGAAGGAUGACUGCCCUAUGGGUUGUACACUUCUUUUAUAUGGGAAUAAAAUGUUCCACGUGUGCGAUUUUGUAUGUACCUUAUGAAUAAGGAUCGGCUAACUCCGUGCCAGCAGCCGCGGUAAUACGGAGGAUCCGAGCGUUAUCCGGAUUUAUUGGGUGUAAAGGGAGCGUAGGUGGUUUGUUAAGUCAGUUGUGAAAGCUUGCGGCUCAACCGUAAAAUUUCAGUUGAAACUGGCAGUCUUGAGUACAGUAGAGGUGGGCGGAAAUCGUGGUGUAGCGGUGAAAAG
rnacentral:rRNA from 1 species